AUACGGAGGAUGCAAGCGUUACUCGGAAUCACUGGGCGUAAAGCGCGCGCAGGCGGCUAUUUAAGUUGGAUGUGAAAGCCUACGGCUCAACCGUAGAACUGCAUCCAAAACUAUUUAGCUAGAGUGUGGGAGAGGAAGAUGGAAUUAGUUGUGUAGGGGUAAAAUCCGUAGAGAUAACUAGGAAUACCAAAAGCGAAGGCAAUCUUCUGGAACACUACUGACGCUGAGGCGCGAAAGCGUGGGGAGCAAACGGGAUUAGAAACCCUAGUAGUCC
rnacentral:rRNA from 1 species